AAUAUCUGGAGAAAACUCUGAUAAACCUGGUGUGGGCUCCUUAGGGCAAGUGAGAUCCCAAGGGCCAUGGUAAGAUAGCUUCUCCUGUCUUACUGCAGGAAGUCCUCAUCCCUGAGAUGAAGUGGAGAAAGGUAUGCCCUUCCUCCAGGUCCCUGUCUCUCCCAGACAACAUCCCUUGUAUCCCUCCAUCAUCCGUGGACUCCACAGACAGUUUCUUCCCCUCCAGGAAGCCUCCGAUGUCUGAAAAGUCAAGAGCCCAAGUAGCUUCAGAAAAUGGUGGGAGGUGGGCAUGGCCCAUGCCAGCCUGGGGUCCUGCCUGCCCUAAGAAGAUGCCGAACUGCUCUCCCACUGCAAAGAAUGCUGUCUAUGAGGAGGACGAGCUGGAGGAGGAGCCCAGGAGCACUGGGGAGCUGAGGCUCUGGGAUUACCGGCUCCUCAAGGUCUUCUUUGUGCUGAUCUGCUUCCUGGUCAUGUCCUCAUCCUAUCUGGCAUUCCGUAUUUCUCGGCUAGAGCAGCAGUUACGCUCCUUGAGUUGGGACGGCCCAGUCCCUGGGCACAGCUCUUCUCUUCCCUCUAUGAGAGAUCUGAAGUACG
rnacentral:sRNA from 1 species